GAACUAGGUCAGGGCAUGCUGGCAGAUAAUAUCUGUCUCUUUGAGUGUGAUUUGCUUAGAUCUGUAUUUUUGGGGGAGUUUACAGAGAGUACAUAGAGAAAAUAUGUCUAGGAAAGUUUAAGUUCUGUCUGCUGAGUAAAACCUUCAAAUGGGAACAUCUGGCCAGGCAGUGUUGCAGCAUACAUGUUUUUGGGCUUCUCAUUCUGGUUCAACUGUGUUGGGGCAGGCAGGCAGGUGGGUGGGGAAGUAAAUUGAAGUUUAGGGAAACAAUGUGUCAAGUAGUAAUUGCACUCAGGAAGGAUGAAUAAGAGUUUCCUAAUUAAAAGAUGUUUUGCAGGGAGCUUCAGCUUAACAGAGUGACUGCUUUGUCUUAAUUGUUUUCUGUCAGUGUAUAUUUAUAUGGGUGUUUGUCUCUCACUGGUCUCUACUCUGUGAGUGCAGUGUGCUAUCUGGUGCUAAUGAGAAGACAGCUGUAGUUCGGAGAGAAAGAUAUGUCUUGAAAAGAGGACUUAUUUUGAAGAGACAUGAAGACACACUGGCAUGCCUAAAAGAAAUGAUUAAUGAGGAGAGCAAAAAGAAAAUUUUGGGAUGUGGUGAAAGGUAAAACAGUGAAGUGAAUUUGAUGAUAAUGAACUGGUGAUUUUACAGCCUGGGAUACCAGAAUUCUGUUUAUGCAGUGAACAGCUUUGACUGGAAUUAAUUCAUGUCUGGAAGUUUUGAUAGCCAACAACAGGAAAAAUGUAGAACCAUAGAUACUCUUGAAUGUUGCUGCAAAUGGAAUCUGUGUAUUUGAACUUGUAACACAGCAAUCGGGAUACCUGUAGAGUUACAGGGAAGUGGCAAUUGGAGUGAAUUCUCUCUUAAGAAAGAUAUCUAGAACCCGAAGGCAUUUUCCUCAAUUGAGCUGGUGUUACAGAAAAUUCUGAAAGACAGAGUUCUGGAAGUCCAGACACUCCUUGUAACAUGCUGCCAAGGCUGUUGGUUUCAACUAGAAUUUCCAGAGCCAUAAAAUAGGAGAUUACUCCUGUUUGAUGAAUACUCCGAUAUUAUUCCCAUUACUCCUAAAAAUUACUCAAGAUAUAAUGUUUCCAUGCACUGCAGUUAAAGAUGUGUUCAAUUUAAACCAAACUGUGCAAGCCCAUGUAACUCCUGAGACACUGAAACAGUGCAAAGGUACUUGAGGGAGUACUGAUUGCUCAGCUUACCUUACACCAGGGGUUGAAACUCAGAUGAAAGACAUGGAAAAUCUGGCUUGGAAGAUGUCAAAAAGAGAAUGAAAUCUUACUUUCUGGCUGGUACAACAAAUGUCUAUGGAAAAGAGGGAUUAUAAUUAUGCCAGCUAGUCACCAGGACCUCCUGCAAAUACCCACAAGGGCUGUGGGAAUUAAUGCAAGGAAGAGAAUGAAACCAUCCAGCUAGAACAUCAAAACCCCCCCAGCGGCAACGGUGGAAUUGGUCCAGCUGGACAUGUUACCGCCCGCUUGCAGAGCUGCACAGAUCAACAACCACCUCUGCUCCCCGUCUCGUUACUGUAGGAGUUCCUGCUGGAAGAUGCUCCAGAGAGGCAGCAGCAAUUCGGAAGCAGAGACCUAGCUGAGCCCCUGUGAGAAUAUUAUGGUCUGGGGGCACAGGUCAAGGUGUCUCUUAAAACUUGAGACAUUUGGCUAUGGGAUGCACUUUUGCCCCUUUGCUAAAUGUGUUGCAGCUACCUCUUAACAUCCCUUCUCUUCACUGCCCGUCUCCUCUUCCGUGCCCCAUGAAGGUCUCCCCAGCAGUAACACUCGGUUGUUUCACCUUUCUCCCACUUCCACGUUCCCACAUGCUCGGCCCUAGUUACUCCACUUCCCUCCAUGUACAUUUGGCCAUUAAAUAUCAUUUUAGAUCUCUCUCUUAAGGAAAGAAAGGAAAAAAGAGAAGAGAGGCAAAGCUCUUUCAGUGUCUUGUAACCAUGUUUGCUCUUUCUCUCUGCUAGAUUUAUCUCCUUUCACCUUUGAAAGGUUGUGGAAAAUUUAAGAAUGUGUUUGUACAGUCCAGAAGUAAUGGGGACUGGUAGAGAGAAUAACGAGAGGGUUGUCCUUACCUUUCUGACAGGGCUAAAGGUUUUUUUCUUCUUUUUUUUUGAGGCAGUUGGCAGCAGUGUGGCUCUCUGUGCAGAUGAAAUGUUGGAAAAUGUACAAGGAAUGUCACUGUUUGAACUAGAGUUAUAGAUAAGAGUCAUUCUUACCCAGAUUACUUUCUGUUUAACUUUCAAAACAACUUAAUGCAGUUUAGCAGCUUUGAAAAUUUCUUCUGCUUUUUGCUUUCUGCUGCAUUUGGUAGAGGUGAGUGUAUGUACAUGUAUACGUGAGGAGCCCCCAAGUGCACGCUGAGGAAAAAGCAGGGAUGUAUUUACUAUGGAUUGUGAGGUGAAUGAAAUAAGGAGCAGGCACACUUCUGGACAUGUCCAUCUUGUGUCUGAAUUGAUGAUUUCCAUGCAGAAAUUCAUCUGAGAGUUCUGUUUUGCAAGACUGCUUCUCUCGGGGACAUUCACUACACAUAAUGUGACCAUGCUGAUCAUGAGGUGCCUCCAGCCUUUAUGCUACAGCCCCCCCCUGUUCUGACAAGAAUUGGAACAGAUUUUGGGUACAUAUUUCUCUCAAUAAGUGGCACUUCCCUUCCUUUUAUCUUUUCCCUUCAUUUGGUACCAAUACAGUAUUAAGUUGCAAUGGAUCAUUACAUUGAAGAGGGAGUAAAAUAAGCCAGCUCCCACAGUAAAUUCUGGAAGUGCAGCAUUAUCUCCCACACAUUCUCUCACUGAUAUUUAUUUCUUCUUCCAGGAUUUAUGCUUAUUAGCACUGAAUCCUCCUGGUGCUGUUUUCAGCCCCAGCUGCUCCCAUCUGUACACAGUGAUACUCUUUUGUGCAAUGUUACCCUCCCUGCAACAGCAAAUUUAAAUAUGAUUAAAUUUGCAGGUGAGAAACACACAGGAGAGCAGGACUUGGAGCUGCCAAUCUGGGAGAGCUUAAGUUAUCAAAAAAACCUAUUGGACACUCUUAGAUAUUGCUUUUUUUAACAGGAGACUCUGACAACUACUUUACAAGAACAAAUCCACAGACCUUAUGGAAGUAUCUAUGGACCGCUGAUGGUCUACAAAGAAUUUAGAUAACUUUGAGUGUUCAUUGAUUACUGCAGAUGAGGGAGGAAGAAUUAAGUUAGAAUUCGGUGGAGGAGGAUUUUAUUUAUUUCUGAUAGAGCACACAGUUUAAAAAAAAAAAAAAAAAAAGAAUCACAGAAUAUUUUUUCAUAGAUAUUAUCCUUGAUUUGGUUACAGCAUUUCAUGUAUUUGGCAUAUAAGUUAGACUUAAUUUAGUAUUGUGGCUUAGAGAUUCAUUUGAGACCAAUUCUGCAAAGAUGCAGAAUCUUUAAGUCUUUUAUUGUCUUUUUUGAUCUCUUCAAGUCCUUGCCAGUGUUUAAGUACUUUUUUAUGGCUAGGUUAAAGCACAUGCAGAAAUUUCCAAGGUUUUAUUAGAAACAAUUACUUGUUUCCAUAAUAAAGUGUAAAAAAAAAGUAACACAGUGGCCUAAAAGUAGAUGAGAGACCCUAAGAUUCCUUGUUAAAAAUAAUAAACAUACUGAAUCAUUAAGAAAGCCUGUGUAAGCUCAUAAAGUUGAGAUUACACAAGAAAAAUGCUGACCAAAUUGAAGUGGCAAGUACUCCAUCUUUCCAGAGGUCAGGGGAUAUUUUAAAAAGAAGAGUGCUUCUUCCUCCUCAGCUCAUUGUCUCUUUGCUGCUGCUGUGCUGAAUUCUGUCUGACAGCAUAAGAAAGCAUUGAUUAUUUUGGAAUAUAAGGCCUAGCUGUGUUUGUCAGUCUUCACCUGCAUAUGAAUGAUAAAUAUACGAAUAUUGAGGUUUCUUCUCAUA